AUCAAUAUUUGUAUAAUUGCAAGCGCUUGUUACUAAGACUAGUCAUGACGUCACCGUAAUAUGUAUGAUUUGUGUGUACGAGUAUACGUAUCGCCUGCGCCUAGCUAGCUGACAACAAAGUCGGAGAAUGGAUUGAAACUAAAGAGCUGAAAGAAGUUAACAACAUGAAGCAGAAAGUCCCAUGCAGGAUGAUGCUUCUCUACAGUGGGUGAUGAAGGCAUGCUGGUUUACAAACUCAGGAGAGGAACAAAGAAGAGAUAUUGACGGGAUCAUAUCUAGAGAUGCGGGCCUACUACACUUCAUACGAGCAAGUGUGCUAAUAUACAUACUUGGGUUAUCACUACAGCCCUUUCUUCUGAAAACUAGGCUACAACUUUAGUGAUGAAUGCAAAAGACAUCUACACGGGACUACGUCUUAAAGAUGCCACCCUCAUAUUAUGAAAGAGUACAAUAGAGAUGGGUUUUAAACUGGAAUAUUUACAUGAUAUUUAUUUAUUAUUUGUAUUAUAUGUUUGUAGAAUACCACAUUCAAUAAAGCCAAUGAAGUUUAUUAUCUUGUCAACGUAGAAAUAAUUAAAGAUAACUAAUCCUCAAUGAAUAAACAUUAAAAUUCUAACAAUGUAAACUACCAUCUUAUAAGAUGAAACUGAGGACUGGGCAGAAAGAUUCUCUUUGAAAUUUGAGUGAUAA